GGGUUGUGAGGUUAAGCGACUAAGCGUACACGGUGGAUGCCCUGGCAGUCAGAGGCGAUGAAGGGCGUGCUAAUCUGCGAUAAGCGCCGGUAAGGUGAUAUGAACCGUUAUAACCGGCGAUACCCGAAUGGGGAAACCCAGUGUGAUUCGUCACACUAUCAUUAACUGAAUCCAUAGGUUAAUGAGGCGAACCGGGGGAACUGAAACAUCUAAGUACCCCGAGGAAAAGAAAUCAACCGAGAUUCCCCCAGUAGCGGCGAGCGAACGGGGAGGAGCCCAGAGCCUGAAUCAGCAUGUGUGUUAGUGGAAGCGUCUGGAAAGGCGCGCGAUACAGGGUGACAGCCCCGUACACAAAAGCGCAUGUGCUGUGAGCUCGAUGAGUAGGGCGGGACACGUGGUAUCCUGUCUGAAUAUGGGGGGACCAUCCUCCAAGGCUAAAUACUCCUGACUGACCGAUAGUGAACCAGUACCGUGAGGGAAAGGCGAAAAGAACCCCGGCGAGGGGAGUGAAAAAGAACCUGAAACCGUGUACGUACAAGCAGUGGGAGCACAGGUUUACCUGUGUGACUGCGUACCUUUUGUAUAAUGGGUCAGCGACUUAUAUUCUGUAGCAAGGUUAACCGAAUAGGGGAGCCGGAGGGAAACCGAGUCUUAAUUGGGCGUUAAGUUGCAGGGUAUAGACCCGAAACCCGGUGAUCUAGCCAUGGGCAGGUUGAAGGUUGGGUAACACUAACUGGAGGACCGAACCGACUAAUGUUGAAAAAUUAGCGGAUGACCUGUGGCUGGGGGUGAAAGGCCAAUCAAACCGGGAGAUAGCUGGUUCUCCCCGAAAGCUAUUUAGGUAGCGCCUCGUGAAUUCAUCUCCGGGGGUAGAGCACUGUUUCGGCUAGGGGGCCAUCCCGGCUUACCAACCCGAUGCAAACUGCGAAUACCGGAGAAUGUUAUCACGGGAGACACACGGCGGGUGCUAACGUCCGUCGUGAAGAGGGAAACAACCCAGACCGCCAGCUAAGGUCCCAAAGUCAUGGUUAAGUGGGAAACGAUGUGGGAAGGCCCAGACAGCCAGGAUGUUGGCUUAGAAGCAGCCAUCAUUUAAAGAAAGCGUAAUAGCUCACUGGUCGAGUCGGCCUGCGCGGAAGAUGUAACGGGGCUAAACCAUGCACCGAAGCUGCGGCAGCGACGCUUAUGCGUUGUUGGGUAGGGGAGCGUUCUGUAAGCCUGUGAAGGUGGCCUGUGAGGGUUGCUGGAGGUAUCAGAAGUGCGAAUGCUGACAUAAGUAACGAUAAAGCGGGUGAAAAGCCCGCUCGCCGGAAGACCAAGGGUUCCUGUCCAACGUUAAUCGGGGCAGG
rnacentral:rRNA from 1 species